rnacentral:tRNA from 1 species
CCUCGGUCGAGCUUUUGGAAAGCCUGUUUACCUUGUGAGUAAAUACUCCAAUCGUUCAGUCCGAUAUCGUGGC